ensembl:lncRNA
CCCUGGCGGGCAAAAUGGGGAACUGCAGGGAGGCCUAGAGGAUUCCCCGGAGCAAGGGGCGGAGAGCCCGGGCCGCUCUGCCUGGUGUGGGAGGGGUGGGAAGAGCAGCAGCGGAGGAAUCACUGCCCCUGCGACUUCUCCGAAAAUGGCUCCGUGUGUGUGUCCUGGGCAUGACAGACCUGGGCUCCGGCGCCCUCCCCGGACUUGGAGUGACCUGGGCGCUGACCCUGGGCAUUCUCACUUCCAGGGCCUCCAGGAAGCCGGUUGCCCGCUGGGAAGGAGGCCGGGCUGGGCAGCUGCAGGUCGAGGGCCCCGGAGAAAGGAAAGGCCGCGUGGGGACCCUGCGGGGACAGAUCUGUGAUCCCUCAUGUCCUGGGAGCCGGGCCCGGCCGCCAGGUGGGUGCAGCAGGUGACUCCUAGCUGAGCCUCGCCUGGAUUUCGAACCCAGAAAAUCACGAGCUGCGUGGGCCGGGAAGAGAAUCAGCAUCACUGUGGAGUGAGGGGCCUCUGCCAGCCAAUCGUGCUGACAUGAAAACACACAAAACCGCCAUCCACAGAUGUGCACACACGCACGCCUCGCCAACACAGCUUCAGCUCAUUUGCAAAACCCAAAGCUGCUUGCAGGUGAGCUGGUGAACGAGAAGCAGGAAGAGGAAGCUCUUGAGGAAACAGUCAGCUCCGCCCCUGCGAGAAUGAGGCCGAACCCAAACCGCAGUGGAAAUGUCAGCACUGAGGAGGCGCAUCGCGGCUUGGCUUGUGGUGGACCCACUGCAUUUAUUGUAACUGGGUAACCCGAGUCUGUCCUGUCCCCAGUCCCCAGCACCACUGCCCCAUUCUAACAGGGUCAGCCAAGUUAAUUCUGCUAUGGAAAAGUGAAAGGAAAAGAGACACCAUAUUAAAGAAUCUUACCACAGUGAUAUAUGCACACCCAUGUUCAUAGCGGCACAGUGCAUAAUAGCUAAAGCUUGGAAACAGCCCAAGUGCCCGUCAACUGGAAACUAGAUAAAGAAGAUGUGGGUUUUUUUAUAAAAUGGAGUACUACUCAGCCAAAGGAAUGAGAAACUAGAGGCAUUUUAUAGCUAAAUGGAUGCAUAUUGAGGCCAUCCUCUUAAGUGAAAUAAAUAGGACACACACACGUGUAAAUACCGAAUCGUUUCUCUAGUGUGAGAAACUGAAACUGUAAUUAAGGAUUAAAAUGCUUAAAAUGAAUAAUGGAUAAUUUGAAAUAAGAAGAAAAGGAAAAAUGAGAAAUGGAAAAAAUGGAAACAAAGUCUUUGUAAAUAGGGAAGGGUGGAGGGGUGCAGGGAGGACAGGGAAUGGGGAAAAAAUAAGAACCAAGAUGCAUCAUGCACAGGUACAAGCACCCAAUGAUAAAUGUAAAUGUAUUGUAUACCUAAAAUGUACCAAUAAAAGAAUUUAAGCAAAAAAAGACUAUAUUUACUACAAUAACAGAAGGAAAGCCCAGGAACUAAGGGUGUAUGAAGUUGAAAGAGAAAGCCGGAUCUGGGAGUCACACCCAUGCUCCCAGCAUUUGGGAGGCUGAGGCAGGAGGACUGUGUCAAGGUUGAGGCCAGCCUGGGCUGCAUAGUGAGACCCUGUUGAGAGAGUGUGUGCAGUGAAGUAAUUCAGUAUCUGACAGAAUAUAAUGCCCUGCUCAGCUGGUGUGUGCCAAGGUCCAAGGACAUGAUGUCUUUCUACUUCUGUGCCAAAAUAUAAACACACAAGGAUGCUGGAGAUCCCCAUAGUCAGGUUCCAGUAGCCACCUGCCCAGUGUGUGAUGCAGGCCUGAGAAAAAGAAUACACUAAGAGACAGAACUAGGAGAGAAAGCGGGGCAGGAUGACCAACGCUGGUGCAACCGACAAAGGCCUGGCCAGUCCCAGGCGCUGACUUUUAUUGGCAAUCAGUUGGGGUAAAGGUGAUGUGUGGUUUCUAUGGAAAUUAAUGUAAACAAGGCUCAUAAAGAACAAGAUGAGUCAGGAACAGAAUAGACAAAAUAUAUGGUUGUAAUUAGAACACUGUCCUAGUCUGAAGGUUUAAAUUGUGGGAACAGAAUUUGGGUGUGAGAUACUUUGACCUUGGCAUGUAGGCUUCGGCCAGACACUCCUAUAAACAAGCCAGUCAUGGGGUUAACUCUUCACUGCCUGCCUUGGGCGUGAUCAAUAUUACAGUCCUCUGCACAAG